CGGUAGUAGUAGCAGUAGUAGUAGUAGUAAUAGUAGCAGUAGUAGUAGUAGUGAAAUGUGACGCUUGAUAAGAGGGUAAAGCUGAAUGAUUCCUUCCAUACUCAGCAGGUCAGCUUUUGUUUUACGGCAUUCAAGCUUGACUAAAGGAUUGGAAGAGGUUCUCAAAGAAGUGAUAAGGGUCUUCAGGAGCAUUGUGGGGGACUCGAUAUCUUUUUAAUAUCGUUUCGAUAAUACACUUCGAAAACACGUGAAAUAUGUUUGUGUGUGGGGUAGAGAGGAGCCAGGGUUGUAGUAUAUGUUUAGAUGUUGGUGGUGAUGGUGGUCAGUUGGGAAGUGGAAGAGUAAUUGGAAAGGACGUGUUGGGGUUUGCCUCGUCACCACCACCCACACCACCACCACCACCACCACCACUGCUAUUACUACUACUACUAUGGCUUCUACUACUGUGACCACUACCACCACCAUGAAAGUUUUCCUACUCGUAACCUUUCUCCCAGUUGUCCUCACCUUCGCUUUGUCUCAGCUCGACGAGAACUUGAGACUUAAGAGAAUGGUGGAGUUGAGGACGAGACGGGAGUCGGUACUGAACACAACCCGACCGCACGUACGACCGCUAAGACCAGACAACGAGAACCACGAGGGACCGGUUAAGGACGACAACGACGACUGGUACUUUUCAGAGGAGGAAGAGGAGAGAGGAACGCUAGACGAGGGCGGAGGAAGGAGUCACGAUAUCACACGGGGAGGGGUCGUGAAGCCUCAAGGUUGUCGGGGUUGCCCAGGGGACGCCGUUUUCAGGUGUAACAACGGCAAGAAGGUGUGCCAAGUGAAGGUGUGUGACGGGGUGAUGGACUGCCGCUCAGGUGAAGACGAGACCAGCUGCCGCUGCUGGGAAGGGGAGUUUGUGUGUGACGGCUACAGGUGUUUGCCGCUUGCCUUCCGCUGUGAUGGUUACCUGGACUGUGCUGAUAACGCUGACGAGACCAACUGCGAUGGCGCCAGCGGUUGUCCAGGGGAUGACUUGUUCCGGUGCAAGAGCGGCGAGAGCGUGUGUCAGAUAAACGUGUGUGACGGAGCGGUGGACUGCCUCUACGGUGACGACGAGGAAGGCUGCGGCUGCCAGGCGGGGGAGUUCGUAUGUGAUAGCAGCUACUGUCUGCCUUCCCUUUACCGCUGUGACGGGCGCCAAGACUGCUGGGACGGGGCGGACGAGGUCAACUGUGAUAUGGUUCGGUGAUGACUUGAGAUGACGAUGAGGACGAAGGAGCUGCAUAGUGGUCAUCCUCAUCAUGAAACACUUAGAUGACUGAUGAAUUUUGGGACUGUUCUCACCUCUUGAAUGGACUGAAUGGACACAACUUUCUUGGACGCGACACUAUAGUAAUGAAAAUAAAAAUACCACACUACA